UCCUAUGCUCCAUAUGAUUAGCAUUAUUUUUCUAGUGGCUCUUGUUUGAAACUAAAGAGGGACCUCAUCCAGUUUUGGUACAGGAAAACAAUGCUAAUUCUUGCUGAUUACUGACUGCUUAUUUGGUGCCAGAUGUCAUCUCUGCAGAAGGCUCACUUGAGGAAAUGGUUGAGCACAUGAAGACCUGGAAAAUUCAGAAACUUGCCCAAGGUCAAACAAUAAAUUCAGGUCCUAGGAGGGCCAGUGAACCAAGGAGAAGUAGCACAUGAAUCAAGGGGACUGAAGAGCAGGGUCUUCAGAAGCAGAAUGGGGACUGUGAAGCUCUGGAGAAUCUUACGGGAAUGGAAAAGAUAUUGAGAAACCUGAUUCCCACAUGCCUGCCAGCCCGCCUCCAUCUGAACGCUUAGGAAUCAUGGGAUGGACCUUCAUCCUUACUUCAAUUUUAAGUUGGAUGGGAAGACAGGUCUAUGAGCCCAAGACUGAGCAUUCGGGAGCUGGCACUCUCUGUGUAGCAGAAUUCCAAACAGGGAGCCUUAGCCGUUGGUGGGCAGGUAUUCUGUCCACGGCAGAUGAGCAAACGGUGCACGGCCAAGCCUCACAUCCUGGUUUGGGGCCAACACCCAGGUCUCCUCAUUUUCCCAUCCAGAGAGUUUUCAGCUUUGUCAUGCUCCUCUUCCCCAGAGGGCUGAGGAAACAGAAGCAACUGCCUACAGGAAAUAUGCUCCAGCUUCCUCCACAGACACAGAGUUCCAGGAGAGUCAGACUCCAUGGAAACAGAAAGCAGAGGGUGUGGACGUGGCAUUUCUUCUAGGCCCACUCCAGUUCUCGUUAGAAACAGAUGAGCCAUUGCAUGUUUCCAUGGUGGGCCCAACAUGAUCCAUAUUCUCAGAAUAAUUGAAUCUCAGAAUACCAGAAAAGGUAUUCUUUCUGGUCAAAUGCCUUCCAUUCACAGAUGAGGAAAUAGUCUAAGGCUAUCAUUGAGACAGUUUAAAUGACUUGCUCAAGGCCUAGUUAUGGGUAGAGGGAAUAAGCUACCAUCUCGUGUUGAAGGUGUUAGCUUGGUUUGCACCUAGGUAGACCCACAAUCUGGAAAUGAGAUCCCGAGCAAGGUGAGUGGCUGUGGUCAUUUCAAUCCUUUCUCUAAUCUGAAGAAGAUUCAGACUAUGGAAUACAAGGUCUGUAUCAUACUGGUUGAUUUGAUUUCAACUUGAAAUCUGGGCUCUAUUGCC